rnacentral:rRNA from 1 species
UACGAAGGGUGCAAGCGUUGUCCGGAUUUAUUGGGCGUAAAGAGCGUGUAGGCGGCCAUACAGGUCAGCUGUGAAAACUCGAGGCUCAACCUCGAGACGUCGGUUGAAACCGUUUGGCUAGAGUCCGGAAGAGGAGAGUGGAAUUCCCGGUGUAGCGGUGAAAUGCGCAGAUAUCGGGAAGAACACCCGUGGCGAAGGCGGCUCUCUGGGACGGUACUGACGCUGAGACGCGAAAGCGUGGGGAGCGAACAGG